GAUGAACGCUGGCGGCGUGCCUAAUACAUGCAAGUCGAGCGAACAGACGAGGAGCUUGCUCCUCUGACGUUAGCGGCGGACGGGUGAGUAACACGUGGAUAACCUACCUAUAAGACUGGGAUAACUUCGGGAAACCGGAGCUAAUACCGGAUAAUAUAUUGAACCGCAUGGUUCAAUAGUGAAAGACGGUUUUGCUGUCACUUAUAGAUGGAUCCGCGCCGCAUUAGCUAGUUGGUAAGGUAACGGCUUACCAAGGCAACGAUGCGUAGCCGACCUGAGAGGGUGAUCGGCCACACUGGAACUGAGACACGGUCCAGACUCCUACGGGAGGCAGCAGUAGGGAAUCUUCCGCAAUGGGCGAAAGCUUGACGGAGCAACGCCGCGCGAGUGAUGAAGGUCUUCGGAUCGUAAAACUCUGUUAUUAGGGAAGAACAAAUGUGUAAGUAACUAUGCACGUCUUGACGGUAACUAAUCAGAAAGCCACGGCUAACUACGUG
rnacentral:rRNA from 1 species